GAUUUGUUUUCGAAAUUAUGAGUAAUAGUUUCGAUUCGAAGUUGAAUAAUCGUUGUUUACAGAUGCGGUAGUGGGAGAUGAAUUUGAUGCCACCGGGAGGACGACGAGUUUGCGACUGAUACUCGAACAAAUAACGUUGCCGGGCACAUAGAUAUUGCAGAAGAUCACUUCCUCGCCCUGGAUUUAAACUCGCACACCGUUCGGACAGCGCUUAUAAUGUACUGUACACUGACCAAUUGCCCCGUACAUCGGCGAUCUACAUUGAAAAACGUCAGUCCGUCGGUGAGACUCGGCCGGCAAGUGUUGGCCCGGGGCAUAUAAAUUGCUACCUCGAUCUCGUUUAAACGGUGUACCUAUCGAUGAACAUUUUGCGUCCAAUUUCAUCGGCCAAUGAAACGAUCCCAAGAGAAAAUCUCCGCUGUUUUUACCCGGAAGCCCAAGACCUUGAAGCCCGAAAAUGAAAAUCCGAAGGGUAUUUCAUCGAUAUUAAAAUAGCAGGCAAAACAGCAUCGUGUGGAUAACCCGCAUCGCCCUAAAAAUUGCGUUUCAUCACUUUCGGCCGUUUCUCGACAAGCACAAAAAUUGUGGUUAAAUCUGAAACCGGAAACUACGCUACUACGGGUGGUUCGCCUUGGGCGAAAAUCGACCUUUUUUUAUCAGCUGCAUGGAAUCUGUACGCGCGAUUUCCAGCCCACUUUACUUUUUCAAGUACCUACUCUAUGAACUCCCCCUCUCCUCCCCAUCUUCAUCCCACCUAAACAUAUAUACUUACCUAAAUUUCUCGGAGGAUGUAAGCUCUUCGUAGAAAUUUCAUUCGUAUACUCUUCGCCAGGGUUUGCAUACCGGGUAAGCAUCCUGAAAUAAAUUUAAUUCCUUGAUCAA